rnacentral:rRNA from 1 species
UACGUAGGUGGCAAGCGUUGUUCGGAAUUAUUGGGCGUAAAGGGCGCGUAGGCGGCCCGGUAAGUCAAAGGGUGAAAUCCCUCAGCUUAACUGGGGAACUGCGUGUGAUACUGGAUGGCUUGGAUUUGGGAGAGGGAUGCGGAAUUCCAGGUGUAGCGGUGAAAUGCGUAGAUAUCUGGAGGAACACCGGUGGCGAAGGCGGCAUCCUGGACCAAUAUUGACGCUGAGGAGCGAAAGCCAGGGGAGCAAACGGG